rnacentral:rRNA from 1 species
AGUGAACGCUGGCGGCGUGCCUAAUACAUGCAAGUCGAACGAAGUGGAGCACGGGUGAGUAAUGUAUAGCUAAUCUGCCCUACACUAGAGGACAACAGGUGGAAACGACUGCUAAUACCAUAUAGUGUAGGAUGAGUAUAUAUUGUAUCAGCUAGUUGGUGAUGUAAUGGCUCCCCAAGGCUAUGACGCAUAACUGGUCUGAUAGGAUGAUCAGUCACACGGGAACUGAGACACGGUCCAGACUCCUACGGGAGGCAGCAGUAGGGAAUAUUGCUCAAUGGGGGAAACCCUGAAGCAGCAGCGCCGCGUGGAGGAUGACACUUUUCGUAGCGUAAACUCCUUUUGUUAGGGAAGCGGUACCUAACGAAUAAGCACCGGCUAACUCCGUGCCAGCCGCCGCGGUAAUUC